ACAUGCCUACAUCAUAGGAUUAAUGCAUUGGAUCCCAUUAGAUAUCUGCAGUUAAGUGCACUCAAGAUAGAGUAAUAUUGGGAUGGGUGACCACCUAAGAAGUCCUAGUGUUUUACAUGCA
rnacentral:rRNA from 1 species